GCACGUAAACAACCUGCCUUCAGGAUGGGGACAACAGACGGAAACGACUGCUAAUACCGAAUAAGUUCCAAGAGCCGCAUGGCCCAUGGAAGAAAAGGUGGCCUCUACCUGUAAGCUAUCGCCUGAAGAGGGGUUUGCGUCUGAUUAGCUGGUUGGAGGGGUAACGGCCCACCAAGGCGACGAUCAGUAGCCGGUCUGAGAGGAUGAACGGCCACACUGGAACUGAGACACGGUCCAGACUCCUACGGGAGGCAGCAUG
rnacentral:rRNA from 1 species